AUGGUGACGGUGCCGGCCGGCGGCGGAGUUCUCCGGGACGAGCUUGAUGUAGGUAGAGACGCUACCAUAGAUGAACUGCAUCUUCGUCUACAGCAAACAGCCGGAGGAGUUGCUCUUCAGGGACAGGAUACGGCACGGACGCACGCACGCUGGGCACACGCGCAGGGCACACACAUGCAGGCGCCGGGGCACACGCGCAGCUCACGCCCCGCCCCGCCAUCGCUCGGUCCCUCGGUCCUGACCGAGCUUUCUCCUCGUCGGUCCGGUUCAGGAAAACAGGCCCGCUGGGCACUUCGGUCCGGUCCGGUCCGGACCGGUCGCGGCCGGUCCAAAGCGCGGCUCGGUCAGGGACCGGACCGGCCCGGACCGUGUCCACCCUGA
rnacentral:rRNA from 1 species